GGCGGAUUGUAGCUGGCCCCAACCGGGCAUGUGCACAUUCUGUUCAUUCCAUUCUCAUACACCUCUGUGCACUUUACAUAGGUUUGGUAUAGAAAAGGUCUUUAUUGACUUUGGAAAUACUGACCUAUGCUUUUACAAACGCUUCAGUUUUAGAAUGUCAUCCGCGUAUAACGCAAUAAAUACAACUUUCAGCAACGGAUCUCUUGGCUCUCGCAUCGAUGAAGAACGCAGCGAAAUGCGAUAAGUAAUGUGAAUUGCAGAAUUCAGUGAAUCAUCGAAUCUUUGAACGCAUCUUGCGCCCUUUGGUAUUCCGAAGGGCAUGCCUGUUUGAGUGUCAUGGUAUUCUCAAUACCCCAAAUCUUUGCGGAUAAGGGUGUGUUGGACUUGGAGGUUUUUGCAGGUAAUGAUUGUAUUACCAGCUCCUCUUAAAUGCAUUAGCAGAGAUAAUACUGCUACUCUCCAGUGUGAUAAUUGUCUACACUGUUAGUAGUGCGGUAUAACAAAAUGUCUAUGCUUCUAAUCGUCUUCGGACAACUUUUGACAAUCUGACCUCAAAUCAGGUAGGACUACCCGCUGAACUUAAGCAUAUCAAUAAG
rnacentral:rRNA from 1 species